GGCGACGCCCCGCAGCCUUCACCGUUUAAACCACUCUCCUCAGGGAGAGGAGUUGAGACCGAAAGCGGAAGUCACGGGGAGCUGGCGGCUGGGUUGGGCGGCGGAUCUGCAGAGUUUCGAGGUUCUGUCAAGUUCGCUGCCCGCCGCCCAACUUGAAGCCUCAUUUACCUUUCGGCUACCUGAUUUGGAUAAAUGGAGAAAAACCGGGGCCUCUAACUCAUAAUGCCCUCCCGCGUUCAAGAUGCCAGUUUUGGGGCGGAGAUUUCUAAAUUAAAGCCUACAUCCCGCGCGGGAAUAUCUGCUGGUAAUUUCUCGCCUGCCAGAAAACUCCUUUGAUCUCUGGCUGUGGAGACUCGGGACCCCUACCCAAGUAUGGGACACUGCCUCCGUUGGGGUUAUCUCAGAUCAAUGGAAUGGGAACAAGCUAUCCGGCCUGGGCGCCGUUCACGUCUCACAUCUGAGAUCGUAACACCGACUGUGCUUAGGACCUCAGCAAUAACUUUUUGCCGUCUCUGGCCCACUGACUCCUCUCAAAAUGUCCCCUGGUCCUUUUGCUAUUCACGUAUUUCUGUGGGCUUGAGAUUUGCUUAACUCCUAUAUUGGCAAAAGGCCACUUGAAAUCGCUAGCAGAUACUCGAUAACCUGAAAGGUAAGCCUGUAGUUCCUCCAUAAAAUUUCCAUGCUGCCCUUCUCUCCAGUAUAAUUCAGAUCUUCCUACCUUAGGGUCUUAGAACUAAAACCAAGAUAAGUCAACUUCAAUUCCACACCCCGAAACAAACCAGUGCAUCCUGUGAAUCUCCUACUAAAAUUUCCUGUUGCGAUAACAUGCAAAAGGAGAGGUUCUAGUAAAAUUUGCCUCUCAGCCCUAGUAUCACCUGAAACUUAAGUCCACUGUGAAAGUCCCAGGCAGAUAGCAUCUUUCACUAAUAACCCUGGAUACUGCGUGAAGGUAGUCCUAAAUCAACUUUUCAGGCAAAUAAGCCCACAAUUACUAUACGUUCUAGCGAAGGGAACUCAGUCCCUAAAACCUUUCCCUGUGAUUGUAAAUUUAUUUCUCUAAUAGAAUCUGAACUUGAGAAAGUAAGGUCCCAACAGAGAGGUUUAUAUAGUGAUGAUUCAUUAAUUAGAAGGAUUUAAUUAGAGGAUUAGAGCCACCUUAAAAAGCCUCGUCCACCUUAACUCUUAGCAAUGCCAAUUCUUCAAGGUUUGAAAAGUCCCCCAGUCAUUCCCAAAUGACUGUUAAGAAUGAAAGGGACUGCUUUUCCAUUAUCAAUACUUUUGGGGAAAAAGGGCAAGAGGAAAGGGAAGUAAAACCAGUAUUUAUUGAGUACCUAUUUGCCAGAUACGGCUAGGUGCUCCCACAUCCCAUCUCUUAAUCCUCACAACAACCCUGUGAGGUAGGUAAUAAUGAUCCCCAUUUUUACAGGUGAGGAAGUAGGCUCAGAGAAAUUAAGCAGCUUUCCCAACUUCACACAGUGAGUAAGUACAUCUAUCUGACCCCAGAGUUACCCUUUUCUAUCAUGCCCCCGUAGGAUAUUGCCUGGGGACACCUGACAACAGAAAGUCUAAGGUUUUCAUCUAGGAUUGGGAGUUACCCCAACACCAGCAGGAUGCAGGAAAAAGUAACUGACCGGAUGGUUGCCUCAAUCUGUUGAUUCUUCAGUGAGUUAGCUCAGAUUUUGUCCAGGAACAGCUUUCAGAGCCAAAGAUUACGUAUUGAACUUUACCAAGGCAUCUGGUGACUAGAAAACUCCUGGAAGGUGGUCAUAGCAGAAAUUGUUGGGAAAGUUCUCAGCAUAAUAAAAGAGAAAUUUUUAUUUCCUUCAUGAUCCACUCCUACAGGGAAAAAUAAAUGGCAAAUGAACCCAUGUAUGUCAAACUCUGUAAUAAACACCAGUGAGAUCACAGUGUCAGGAAAUUUCAGCCUGAAUUAAAGAUACCCUUGCUCUUAAAACUUUCUUCUUUGAUGUAUGUGAAGGAAGGGCUGGAGGGCAAAGUCAAAGGAAAAGGCAAAAUAAAUUAACAAAAUGGCUGCCAGGCAAUGUUUAAUGCCCUCCCCUUCCUCCUCCCACCACGUACACUCGCCUUUCCUCCUUCCAUUGGGCUCACACUGCCACCUGCUGGCAAUUCCUUGGAUCUAAUAGCUGAUCAGUGGUGUUUGAAAGAAGAGUUUUUUCCCUGUCUAGGAAUGAUUGAUUCCUCUGUAUGCAUUUAUUUUAAUAGGGAGGAGAGGUGAACAUGUUUUUCAAUCACAAAGGACUCUCCUCCCUAUAUAUACUAUGUUUUUAGGGAACUUCCACAAUGUAAUAGGCACUAGACUGGUAUAAUAAUCUAGUGGUAGGAAGACAACCUAGAAAUUUUCCUAGAACAAAGGGGGAAAGCUGUUUGCCCAGUUUCAUUUAAUUUUUUUUCUUCAUUAGAGAGUUUCAUUUACAACCCCUAUGCUUUCCACAAUCUGCAGGAAGCUUCAAGGUAUGCAUCUUGCUGCCACGGGCUGAACUCUCAGAAGUUAGAGCCAUGGACAUAUUCUCCAAUAUAUUUCUCAAGCACAUUCUGUAGUGCUUUAUCAAAUCAAAGUGCUUUGUGAAAAUAUAAGGUAUCUCAUCAACUUAGACUAUGAACUCCUUAAAAGCAAUGACCACACGCCCUGUGUGGGUCCCAGGGACUAGUGGGUGUUCAACUAUUAUGCACUGAAUUGAACUAAAGGAGUCAAUGUUGUUAUCAGUAUA
rnacentral:lncRNA from 1 species